UAUAUACUCCUUCCGUCCGGAAAUACUUGUCGGAGAAAUGAAUGUAUCUAGACGUAUUUUAGUUUUAGAUACAUCUAUUUUUAUGCAUUUCUCCGACGAGUAUUUUUGGACAGAGGGAGUACAAG
rnacentral:pre_miRNA from 1 species